rnacentral:rRNA from 1 species
UACGUAGGGGGCUAGCGUUGUCCGGAUUUAUUGGGCGUAAAGAGCGUGUAGGCGGUCAGGUAGGUCCGUUGUGAAAACUCGAGGCUCAACCUCGAGACGCCGAUGGAAACCAUCUGACUAGAGUGCGGAAGAGGAGAGUGGAAUUCCUGGUGUAGCGGUGAAAUGCGCAGAUAUCAGGAAGAACACCCGUGGCUAAGGCGGCUCUCUAGUACGGUACUGACGCUGAGACGCGAAAGCGUGGGGAGCGAACAGG